CCCUGUAGACCCUGUUCUGAGUCAGAUAUGCAAGGGACAGCUCCAUUGCAGCCGAGAGCACCAUCCUGACUGUCAGGACCAAAACACUGGUCCUGUGCUGACCAUAUGCUAAAGGAUGAAACGUUUCGUUUAUCUGUGAGGCUUAUUAACCUAUGCUACCACUGUCAGUUGAGAUUGCCACGUACUUCAGGAUAUUGGGAGGCGUGUCAUAAAGGAACGGCUCGAGAGCGGGGAGGCAGCCCUGCUCUGACUGACAUCCAAGCUGAUGAUGGCUCAUCAAGUCAUUAGUCAAGAGCUCCAAAGAGAAAGACAGUGACCUCAGAAGUUCAUCAAACUUAAAAUCCUGAGUCCGAAAGAAAUACACUUAAUUUGUCCUCGGAGCUCUCUGUGGACAUGUACAAGGCCAGCAGCACCGGCAAGACGUUUGUGAUGGCGACAGCCCGGGCGUGCUCUGGGGUGUGCCUCCCCACCUGUCCAAGAGCCCAGGCAGCCGCAGCCUUAAUAUGAUCCUCCAGGUCUUCCGACAGGCAGGCCGACAACGGGGGGACACCCUGCAGUGGGGAGAGCAAGUGGAUAAAUCUAGAGCAGAUUAGAGUCCUCUGUGUGUCUCAGGCAUCAGAAGAUUUAGUCUUGAUCUCUUUUUUUCCUCUAAAUGGUUCAAUAAAUGCACACAUCACAAGGGCAGUCAUUUCUUAAGUCAAUAAAAUGACUAGAACUAAAUCACCUUAAUUACCUGUAACAGCCUAACUUAAAUAAAAAUGUCUCUACUAGCUUCUACCCCCAAAUAGAAGAACAUUUAUGCAAACAACAGAGAUAGGUGUCUCAGAACAGGCAAAACCAAAUCCCAUUGUGACAAACCAAAAUCUUAAAACUUUAUUUUCCAUUGUUUAGAAAGUUAAGACCAGGGCUAGCCCUCAGUUUAAUCCUCAGGAACACACAUAUCCCAAAUAUAGUAAAUCUGAAAAUAAAAUAACUACUACAAACUAAAAACCAGAGGAGUAUAAGCACCAGUUCACUCUACGCGCCUUUCACAUGGACCGUAUUCAACUGUCUUCCCUGAAAUACCACAUACGUUUGCAGUCAUGUGGGCGGCCUUUAUGAUGAUAGUUCUGCUCAUUUGUAUACCCAAGUACAGCCAGGUUCUUUUGCUACAUGGGUAGCUUAUGUGUACAUUUUGCAUUUUAGACUCUAAUUUUGUUUAAAUAAUUAAAACAUCAUCAAAUACCCUCAAAAAACAGUUUGUAAACCUAAGGAAAAAAAUCAAAUAAACAUCAAUUUUUCUAUUGAUAAAAUAAAAGUUGUG